GGCACAAGCGGUGGAUGAUGUGGAUUAAUUCGAUGCAACGCGAAGAACCUUACCUACCCUUGACAUGUCCGGAACUUGCCAGAGAUGGCUUGGUGCCCGAAAGGGAAUCGGAACACAGGUGCUGCAUGGCUGUCGUCAGCUCGUGUCGUGAGAUGUUGGGUUAAGUCCCGCAACGAGCGCAACCCUUAUCAUUAGUUGCUACGCAAGGGCACUCUAAUGAGACUGCCGGUGACAAACCGGAGGAAGGUGGGGAUGACGUCAAGUCCUCAUGGCCCUUAUGGGUAGGGCUUCACACGUCAUACAAUGGUCGGUACAGAGGGUUGCCAAGCCGCGAGGCGGAGCCAAUCCCACAAAGCCGAUCGUAGUCCGGAUUGUUCUCUGCAACUCGAGAGUAUGAAGUCGGAAUCGCUAGUAAUCGCAGGUCAGCAUACUGCGGUGAAUACGUUCCCGGGUCUU
rnacentral:rRNA from 1 species